UACGAAGGGGGCUAGCGUUGCUCGGAAUCACUGGGCGUAAAGGGUGCGUAGGCGGGUUUUUAAGUCCGGGGGGAAAUCCUGGAGCUCAACUCCAGAACUGCCUUUGAUACUGAGGAUCUUGAGUUCGGGAGAGGUGAGUGGAACUGCGAGUGUAGAGGUGAAAUUCGUAGAUAUUCGCAAGAGCACCAGUGGCGAAGGCGGCUCACUGGCCCGAUACUGACGCUGAGGCACGAAAGCGUGGGGAGCAAACAGG
rnacentral:rRNA from 1 species